CUGGGAUGGAGGCAGUUAAGACUUGCAGUGAUGUUUAGGGCAAUGAUCACAUGAACAUCACUUUAAGUCUGUGCUGGCUCCUCUCCUCAU
rnacentral:pre_miRNA from 13 species